rnacentral:rRNA from 1 species
CCUACGGGUGGCAGCAGUGAGGAAUAUUGGUCAAUGGGCGGAAGGCUGAACCAGCCAAGUCGCGUGAGGGACGACUGCCCUAUGGGUUGUAAACCUCUUUUAUGGGGGAACAAAGGCGUCCACGUGUGGGUGUUUGAGUGUACCCCAUGAAUAAGCACCGGCUAAAUCCGUGCCAGCAGCCGCGGUAAUACGGAGGGUCCGGGCGUUAUCCGGAUUUAUUGGGUUUAAAGGGAGCGUAGGCCGGUCAUCAAGCUUGCCGUGAAAUUUUGGGGCUCAACCAUGGGAGGGCGGGGCAAACUGGAAGCCUUGAGUGCGCGGGAGGCAGGCGGAAUGCGUGGUGUAGCGGUGAAAUGCUUAGAUAUCACGAAGAACCCCGAUUGCGAAGGCAGCCUUCCGCAGCGCUACUGACGCUGAGGCUCGAAAGCGCGGGUAUCGAACAGGAUUAGAUACCCGGGUAGUC